rnacentral:rRNA from 1 species
GGUUUGAUCCUGGCUCAGACGAACGCUGGCGGAUGUUUUACACAUGCAAGUCGAACGGCAGCACUGGGACUUCGGUCUGGUGAAGAGUGGCGAACGGGUGAGAAGGUAUCGGAACGCCUAGUAGCGGGGAUAACUACGCUGAAAGCGUAGCUACCGCAUACUGCCCUUCGGGGGAAAGCGGGGACCUUUCGGGGCCUCGCACUAUUAGAGCGGCCUGAUAUCGGAUUAGCGCAGUUGGUGGGGUAAACGGCUCGCCACCGCGACGAUCCGUGGCUGGUUUGAGAGGACGACUGCGGCCACACUGGGACUGGAGACGGCCCAGACUCCUACGGGAGGCAAAGCAGCGGGGAAUUUUGGACAAUGGGGGAAACUCCUGAUCUAGCCAUCCCGCGCAUGAAGGCCUUCGGGUUGUGGCAAAGCACUUUGGCAGGAAAGAAACGGCAUGGGAUAAUACCCCGUGCAACUGACGGUACUGCAGAAUAAGCACCGGCCAUCCGACAGCAGCCGCGGUAAUACGUAGGGCAAGAAUUUAAUUACUAAAGCGGCGCAGGCGUUCUGAAAGAUGUGAAUCCAGAGCUAACUUUGGAACUGCAUUUUUAACUACCGAGCGAGUGGCCAGGAGGGAGGAAUUCCGCAGCAGCAAUGUAGAUAUGGAGGAACACCGAUGGCGAACGGCAGCCUCCUUGGCAACACUGACGCUCAUAUCGAGGCGCCGUGGAGCAAACAGGAUUGAUACCCAGAAUACCCUUAAACGAUGCCAACUAGCUGUUGGGCUUUCUUACCUUCUUGUAUGCAGCUGAUCAUGUAGUUGACCGCUCGGGAGCAUGGCCGCAGAUUGGAACCAAAGGAAUUGAGCUGGGAACGCACGGGCGGUGGAUGAUGAUUAAUUCGAUGCAACGCAAAACCCACUUAAAAUUCCUUGACAUGUCUGGAAUCCCGAAGAGAUUUGGGAGUGCUCAAGAGAACCGAACACAGGUGCUGCAUGGCUGUCAUUGCUCGUAAGCCGAGAUGUUGGGUUAGUCCUUGCAACGAGCGCAACCCUUUGCCAUUGCUGAGCAUGAAAGGGCACUCUGACGAGAAUGUCGGUGACAAACCGGAGGAAGGUGGGGAUGACGUCGUUCUCUAUGGCCCUGCGGGUAGGGUCAGUUGUCGCCAAGGGGGUCACGGGACGAGAGGGUCGCCAACUCCAAGAGGUGGAGCCAAUCCCAGAAACCAUCAGUCCGAUCGCAGUCUGCAACUCGACCGCGUGAAGCCUGGAAUCGCUGGGUAAUCGUGGAUCAGCAUGUCGUGGUAAUAAUGUUCCGGGUCUUGUACACACCGCCCGUCACACCAUGGGAAAGUGGGUUUUACCAGGAAGAAGAUAGCUCAACCGUAAGGAGGCGAUUACCACGGUAGGAUUCAUGACUUUGGGUGAAGUCGUAACAAGGCAGCUCUGUUAUUACUCCGAUG